rnacentral:tRNA from 1 species
GCCCGGAUAGCUCAGACGGAUAGAGCAGCGGCCUUCUAAGCCGACGGCCAGGGGUUCGAAUCCUCUUCCGGGCG